AGGCUCCUCCCUGUCUCCGCAAACCGUCCAGGCGGUAGGAGCCGGAAGCUGGAAGCUGGAAGCUGGGGAGAGGUGCGUGGAACCAGGAGAAGGCUACACAACGCUGCCUUCGAGCUCAGUGAGAACCCGGAGAGGACAAUCAGAACCCGAGAGUGGAAGAGGAGAGCACUCACAGCCAGGUCCCGGGGUGGUCGAUUUCCAGGGUGGGAGAAGUUGCCCACGGCUCCCUGAGCCACCACCCUUCCACGCAGUCUCCCAGCUGGUAUGGCCACCCUCUCGCACCUGAGCGUCCACCUCCCCGUGGUGCACGCUUGAAGCCUCCUGAAGCAAGUGCUGGAAGCAGAAAGCAGCAGGGCCCAGUGCUGUCAACACCACCACGCACACUCAUGCCAAUCCUGGCCAGGCCUCUGGAUGGGCUGGGCUGGGCUGGGCCCCUGGCUCUGGGUGGUGAGUGCCCAGGGGUGAGAGAAACGGAGGGCCUUCUGUCCUCACAGGUGGGAAAGAGCAGAAGGCAGGAUGACCCACUUCAAAACUGGCUCUUUUCAAAGGGGUGUGGGAUGACUGGGGGGCUGCUGUAAGUGGGUCAACCUUCAUGUGCACGUUGCUGUUCCACGCUUUAAAAUGUGGCAUUAAACAUCUGUAUCCUGUUUUCAUUAGCUUGUACGACACAGUGAUGGGGACCUGCCCAGUGUUCUGAAGUAGCAAGUGUGCCCACAGGCUAAUAAACAACAGGUGCCUCCAAUAAAUAGGAAUUUAAUACUUGAUGUAAAUGUGAGUG
rnacentral:lncRNA from 1 species